UGGGGAAUAUUGCACAAUGGGCGAAAGCCUGAUGCAGCAACGCCGCGUGAGUGAUGAAGGUCUUCGGAUUGUAAAGCUCUGUCUUUUGGGACGAUAAUGACGGUACCAAAGGAGGAAGCCACGGCUAACUACGUGCCAGCAGCCGCGGUAAUACGUAGGUGGCGAGCGUUGUCCGGAUUUACUGGGCGUAAAGGGUGCGUAGGCGGAUGUUUAAGUGAGAUGUGAAAUACCCGGGCUUAACUUGGGUGCUGCAUUUCAAACUGGAUAUCUAGAGUGCAGGAGAGGAGAAUGGAAUUCCUAGUGUAGCGGUGAAAUGCGUAGAGAUUAGGAAGAACACCAGUGGCGAAGGCGAUUCUCUGGACUGUAACUGACGCUGAGGCACGAAGGCGUGGGUAGCAAACAGGAUUAGAU
rnacentral:rRNA from 1 species